rnacentral:rRNA from 1 species
GUGUCAGCAGCCGCGGUAAUACGGAGGGUGCAAGCGUUAUCCGGAUUCACUGGGUUUAAAGGGUGCGUAGGUGGGCUAGUAAGUCCGUGGUGAAAUCCCCGAGCUUAACUUGGGAACUGCCAUUGAUACUAUUAGUCUUGAAUAUCGUGGAGGUAAGCGGAAUAUGUCAUGUAGCGGUGAAAUGCUUAGAUAUGACAUAGAACACCAAUUGCGAAGGCAGCUUGCUACACGGUCAUUGACACUGAGGCACGAAAGCGUGGGGAGCAAACAGGAUUAGAUACCCGCGUAGUCC